GUCCACGCCGUAAACGAUGGAUGCUCGGUGUUUGGCGGGGAAACCUGCUGGGCACCUCAGCUGACGCGUAAGCAUCCCGCCUGGGAACUACGAGCGCAAGCUUAAAACUCAAAGGAAUUGACGGGGGCCCGCACAAGCAGCGGAGCGUGUGGUUUAAUUCGACGCAACCCGCAGCACCUUACCCAGACUUGACAUGGCACUGCAAGCCCGUGAAAGCGGGUCGCCUUCGAGGGUGUGCCGCAGAUGCUGCAUGGCUGUCGU
rnacentral:rRNA from 1 species